CUGGAAAAUCAUAACCCACCCUUUCAGAAAAGCGAGAUGUAUCAGCGUUCUAUUUCCCUGUUGCCGAAUAGUGUGGCUCUCUAAAAAAUUGAAACUCUAAAUUUCUAUGUAGUAACGAAUUAUGGACUCUAAAGAAUGUCUGCAUCUUUUCACAUGACCCACCCUUUCCUUGCCGCCAAACCUUUCCUGACCCACCCAUUUAACCAUGCUGAAAAAGGAUGAUCCCCCUGGCUCCCCUACUUUUUCAAGCCCCUCCCUUAUAUUUUAUGACCAGUCCCUUUAUAUAUUAACAAAACCGUUAUGAAUAUAAACAUGAUACUG